CAGCUCAGGCACCCUCUGCAGCCGCCGCUGCCUCGCUCCCAGCCCGGUCCCCAUGGAAGAGAUGGAAGAAGAGUUAAAAUGCCCCGUGUGCGGCUCCUUCUAUCGGGAGCCCAUCAUCCUGCCCUGCUCUCACAAUUUAUGUCAGGCGUGCGCCCGCAACAUCCUGGUGCAGACCCCGGAGUCUGAGUCCCCCCAGAGCCGUCGGGCUUCGGGCUCUGGGGUUUCCGACUAUGACUAUCUGGACCUGGACAAGAUGAGCCUGUACAGCGAGGCGGACAGCGGCUAUGGCUCCUACGGGGGUUUCGCCAGCGCCCCCACUACCCCGUGCCAGAAGUCCCCCAACGGCGUCCGCGUGUUUCCCCCAGCUAUGCCGCCACCGGCCACCCACCUGUCACCGGCGCUGGCCCCGGUGCCCCGCAACUCCUGUAUCACUUGCCCCCAGUGCCACCGCAGCCUCAUCCUGGAUGACCGGGGGCUCCGCGGCUUCCCCAAGAACCGCGUCCUAGAAGGGGUAAUUGACCGCUACCAGCAGAGCAAAGCCGCGGCUCUGAAGUGCCAGCUCUGCGAGAAGGCGCCCAAGGAGGCCACUGUCAUGUGUGAACAGUGCGAUGUUUUCUACUGCGAUCCGUGCCGCCUGCGCUGCCACCCACCCCGGGGGCCCCUAGCCAAGCACCGCCUGGUGCCCCCGGCCCAGGGCCGCGUGAGCCGGCGGCUGAGCCCGCGCAAGGUCUCCACCUGCACAGACCACGAGCUGGAGAACCACAGCAUGUACUGCGUGCAGUGCAAGAUGCCCGUGUGCUACCAGUGCUUGGAGGAGGGUAAACACUCCAGCCACGAAGUCAAGGCUCUGGGGGCCAUGUGGAAACUGCACAAGGUGAGUGCUAAGAAAACCCACCCCUAA